rnacentral:rRNA from 1 species
UACGUAGGGGGCAAGCGUUGUCCGGAAUCAUUGGGCGUAAAGAGCGUGUAGGUGGCCCGAUAAGUCUGCCGUGAAAGUCCAAGGCUCAACCUUGGGAUGCCGGUGGAUACUGUCGGGCUAGAGUCCGGAAGAGGCGAGUGGAAUUCCUGGUGUAGCGGUGAAAUGCGUAGAUAUCAGGAGGAACACCAAUGGCGAAGGCAGCUCGCUGGGACGGUACUGACGCUGAGACGCGAAAGCGUGGGGAGCAAACAGG